CACAAACAAGACAGAGAGCGGUGGAGGCGGAACAACAUGUCAGCGAUGAUCGUUCACUGUCAAAGGGAAUCCAUCGCAGCGACGGCGAACUUUAUAGAAUGUGCGGAGGGUUUUUUCCUAACUCCUGAUCCCCCACUCCAAUCCAGUGGGUGGUGGUAAUGCAGCUCUAAGCUGGUUUGGUUAGCCGCAAACCCACAAGAAGAAGAAGACGACGGAGCACUAUAUAAAGAAUAUGCUCUCUAAAUUGAGAAGUACUUUGGGAAGAGAGCCAGCCUUGGGACCAAGAGGAAGCCACCUCUCCAAAAGCCAACCCACAACUCACCCUGAAGAAGCCUCUUCUUAACAAGCUAUCUCAAAUGAUGAUGUUGUCAUCGGUGAGGGACUGAAGGUCAGCAAGACAAAACUACAAAGGUGCAAUCACCAAAACCCCACCAAGCUGGUGUGUGACCUGUUUAGCAUUACAUUUACUCGGAAACAGAUGGCCACUUCAUCCCUUACUGGCCAAAAAGGGAGUGCCAAGGAAAAUGUUAAGCCACCCCUGGAGCCCACAUCUGUCAAUGCUAUUUUUGAUUACACUCUGCAGAAAUUUCCAGACGCAAAUAUAAAACUGCUGAGGGGAGCCGCCAGAAACAAACUAAACAAUGAAAACAAGAAUUUCAAACAUAUGCGAGUUGGAGCUGGACCUGCCGUUCCAGGACAUGAAGACAGAACUUAGAACUUAAAAGAAAAAAAAGGAAGACUGAAUUACAUUUAUUAAUAAAAAUAAAAAUUGUAUAAAGAUUUAAUGAUUCUCCUGUUUUUGAUUAUUCUCAUGUCGCUUUUUUGGUAGGUAGAUGGAAGUAUGAAGUAGGAUUUUUAAUUACAUUUGCUAUUGCAUUAGGAUUAGCCUAUUCAUUGUUUGAUGUAUGCAUUAUUGCACUAUAGUUUUGUGAGAGAGAUGCGUUUCUAAAAACCAUGGUAAAGUCAUGGUUUGGAAAAACCAUGGUUCUCACCAUGGUUUAUUGCUAUGGUUUUAUCAUGGUUUAACUAUAGCAAAAUCAUGAUAAAAUCAUAGUAAUAAACCAUGGUUUUACUAAGGUUAUUUAACCAUAGUAAAACCAUGGUUAAUGUUCGUAAACACACAAACACUAACAUCGGGUGAAUUCCACCCAUAAAAUAUUGUAGCGAUUCUCUUAGUUAGAGAGCGUGUUGAUGUUGUGGGAUUUCGGACUGUUCGGGAGGUUCGUGAAGGCAGCAUGGAGAGAGAGAAAAG